rnacentral:rRNA from 1 species
UACAGAGGUCUCAAGCGUUGUUCGGAUUCAUUGGGCGUAAAGGGCGCGUAGGUGGCGGGGUAAGUCGGGUGUGAAAUCUCAGGGCUCAACCCUGAAACUGCACUCGAUACUGCUCUGCUUGAGGACUGGAGAGGAGACUGGAAUUCACGGUGUAGCAGUGAAAUGCGUAGAUAUCGUGAGGAAGACCAGUGGCGAAGGCGGGUCUCUGGACAGUUCCUGACGCUGAGGCGCGAAGGCCAGGGGAGCAAACGGG